rnacentral:rRNA from 1 species
GCAAGUCGAGGGGUAACGGAAGUAGCUUGCUACUAGACGACGACCGGCGCACGGGUGCGUAACGCGUAUACAAUCUACCUUAUACUGAGGGAUAGCCUUUGGAAACGAAGAUUAAUACCUCAUAGUAUUGCAGUAUCGCAUGAUAUAGUAAUUAAAGGUUACGGUAUAAGAUGAGUAUGCGUCCUAUUAGCUAGAUGGUGUGGUAACGGCACACCAUGGCGACGAUAGGUAGGGGCCCUGAGAGGGGGAUC